rnacentral:ncRNA from 1 species
AUCAGAAAAAGGCAAACCUAUCGAAAGGUAGCGACGCAAAGCUUUAGGGGCUAAAAAUCUACGGAUCCUGCCAGCCAGCUACCGGU